rnacentral:rRNA from 1 species
CGGACGGGUGAGUAACACGUGGAUAACCUACCUAUAAGACUGGGAUAACUUCGGGAAACCGGAGCUAAUACCGGAUAAUAUAUUGAACCGCAUGGUUCAAUAGUGAAAGACGGUUUUGCUGUCACUUAUAGAUGGAUCCGCGCCGCAUUAGCUAGUUGGUAAGGUAACGGCUUACCAAGGCAACGAUGCGUAGCCGACCUGAGAGGGUGAUCGGCCGCACUGGAACUGAGACACGGUCCAG